AUGUUGCUCUCUUCAACCCAUCUUCUUGUUUUGUCAGGAUCGUGUUCUUUUCAUGCUUAUCCAUUUAACCGGAGUGUUGUGUCCUAUGCUCAAGUUCUUUUCAUCUUAUCAAGUCUUGCAUCACUUUUCAACCGGAGUGCUGCCCGAAUUUGUUCUUCCUUGUUCCUCUUUCCUAACGGAGUGUUUUCAACUUCGUUCAUCUCCAUUGUAUUCUUUUCUCGAAAUUGUUUAACAUCUCAAGGUUCUUUGGUUUCACUCGUUUGUCAAAGAAGCAACUUUGUUUUACCUCUUCAUAUUUCGUUUUUUCUCCGGUGCCUUCCUAGAUCUCGGGACGAGAUCCUCUUGUAG
rnacentral:rRNA from 1 species